UACGUAGGGUGCAAGCGUUGUCCGGAAUUAUUGGGCGUAAAGAGCUCGUAGGCGGUUUGUCGCGUCGAAUGUGAAAACCCGGGGCUCAACCCCGGGCCUGCAUUCGAUACGGGCAGACUAGAGUUCGGUAGGGGAGUCUGGAAUUCCUGGGUGUAGCGGUGAAAUGCGCAGAUAUCAGGAGGAACACCGGUGGCGAAGGCGGG
rnacentral:rRNA from 1 species